AACGGCCACGGUAUCCUGACCGUGCGAAGGUAGCGUAAUCACUUGUUCUUUAAAUGGGGACUAGUAUGAAUGGCAUCACGAGGGUUAAACUGUCUCCUUUUUCUAAUCAGUGAAAUUAAUCUCCCCGUGAAGAAGCGAGGAUAACUUUAUAAGACGAGAAGACCCUAUGGAGCUUAAAACAAAUUUACACCUGCUUUUUAUUUAUUUUACUUCCCGAAUUUGCACAAACAUUAUAGCACAAUUGACAUGUAGUUUUCGAUUGGGGUGAUCCUGGGGCAAAAAAUAACCCCCAGGACGACAAAGGGCCANNCCCUUGAGCCAAAAGCCACAACUUUAAGCACUAAAAAAUUAACGCAACUUGACCCAAUUAUUUGAGCAACGAACCAAGUUACCCUAGGGAUAACAGCGCAAUCCACUUCAAGAGCUCAUAUCGACAAGUGGGCUUACGACCUCGAUGUUGGAUCAGGGUAUCCCAGUGGUGCAGCCGCUACUAAAGGUUCGUUUGUUCAACGAUUAAAACCCUACGUGAUCUGAGUUCAGACCGGAGCAAUCCAGGUCAGUUUCUAUCUAUAAAGGGCUUUUUUUAGUACGAAAGGAUCAAAAAAGCAUGGCCAAUGUUUCACUUAAGCCAUAUAAACUACUUAUGCUCCCAACUUAAUUAGAAACAACCCUACCACAAACCUCAAGACAAGAGAAGUUAACGUAGCAAAACCUGGCCCUGCUA
rnacentral:rRNA from 1 species